GGCGCGGUGGUUGAGCGGUAAAGCGCUUGGCUUCCAAACUGGGGGUCCCGGGUUCGAAUCCUGGUGAAGCCA
rfam:Biomphalaria glabrata isolate BB02 unplaced genomic scaffold LGTN_random_Scaffold14342, whole genome shotgun sequence.